UCGUUAGAGGUGUACCGGUUUUGCCCAUUGAGUGGCGCUGUUGUCAUCAGAAUUUGUGAAGCUCUUUGAAAGAUGUUGGGAUACUUCCCUGGUUUUAAUGUCUGGCUAUUUCUCUAUAGCGUUCAGCACUCAGCCUGACUCAAGGAAGAAGUUGUGUAACUAGAAAUCCCGGUGUGGUGAAAUCAUUAACGUCACGCCCGGUUUCCAGGAAAGUGCGUUCUUUACAGUAGUUCUGUUUAUCUGCAGAAGUUAAACUACCCAUUGGAUCUGUCAAACUGAAUGUUUCUAUUAUUUGUUUAAAAAUUCAAAGACAGACGUUGAGUUGGGGCUGAGUGUUAUUAUGAGAUGUUGCCUCUCAGUGCCUCCUUCGUGCAAAUCAAGUUUGAUGACAUCCGCUUCUACGAGAACUGCGGCGGCGGCAGCUUCGGGAGCGUGUACCGAGCCAGGUGGAUCUCUCAGGACAAAGAGGUGGCGGUGAAAAAGCUGCUCAAGAUCGAAAAUGAGGCUGAAAUCCUCAGUGUACUGAGCCAUCGGAACAUCAUUCAGUUCUAUGGGGCGAUCCUUGAAGCACCCAACUAUGGAAUUGUCACUGAUUAUGCCAGUGGAGGGUCCCUGUAUGACUACCUGUCCAGUGCAGAGAGUGAGGAGAUGGACCAGGAACAAGUCAUGACUUGGGCCAUGGAGAUUGCCAAAGGCAUGCACUAUUUACACUCAGAGGCCCCGGUCAAGGUUAUCCACAGAGACCUGAAGUCCAGGAAUGUGGUUGUGACGGCAGACAAAGUUCUUAAGAUCUGUGAUUUUGGGGCGUCCCGGUUCCACUCCCACACCACACACAUGUCCCUGGUAGGCACGUUCCCCUGGAUGGCCCCGGAGGUUAUCCAGAGCCUGCCAGUGUCUGAGACCUGUGACACCUAUUCCUACGGCGUGGUUCUGUGGGAGAUGCUCACCCGGGAGAUUCCCUUUAAAGGCUUGGAGGGUUUACAAGUCGCCUGGCUGGUGGUGGAGAAGAGUGAGAGGUUAACCAUUCCCAGUAGCUGCCCAGACAGUUUCGCUGAGCUGAUGAGGAAGUGCUGGGUGACUGAUCACAAGGAAAGACCAGUGUUCAAAAUUAUCCUUGCAACCUUGGAGUCCAUGUCCAAUGACAGCAAGCUUCCCGAGCAGUGCAACUCUUUCCUACACAACAAGGCAGAAUGGAGCUGUGAGAUCGAAGCCACACUCGAGAGACUGAAGAAGUUGGAGAGGGAUCUGAGCACCAAAGAGCAGGAACUGAAGGAGAGAGAACGUCGCCUGAAGAUGUGGGAGCGCAAGCUCAUCGAGCAGUCCAACACCCCGCUCCUUCCCAACCUUCAUAUUCAUUCCUGGACAGAGGAACAUGUGUACUUUUGGAUGCAGCAGAUAUUUGGGGCUGAAGAGGGGGCAUAUGGCAUGCAGCUGUAUGGUGACCUGUUUAAGGAAAACCACAUCACUGGCAAGAGGCUGCUGCUGCUCACGGAAACAGACAUGCGAGACCUGGGGGUCAGGUCCAAAGGUCACAUCAUGCACCUCAAGAGUGAAAUUGAGAAGCUAACCAAUGACUACAUUGGGCUCUUCCACUUCCCUCCACUAAUGAAGGAUGAGUGGGUAGAGGAGGAGGAGGAGGAGGAGAGGAGGAAGAUCGUUAAUCUGGAGCUGGUGUUUGGGCACCACUGGAAAGCUGGAACAGGUCACUCAGACUGCAAAUGGAAAAUGUACAUGGAACUUGACGGAGAUGAAGUUGCAAUAACGUACAUCAAGGAUGUGACCUUUGAUGCCAACAGACAAGAUGUGGAUGUCCUGAAGAUGACCAAGCCCCCAUUUGUGAUGGACAAAUGGGUAGUUGGACUACGGGACAAUCAGGUUGUUGACUGCAUUGUUAAUUAUGAGAAUGAUGUGAGAUCACCAAGGUCUACGAGAUAUAGCCAUGCAGUGAUGUGGAACCCCAUCGGUGGACGAGAUGAGAUCAAGACUGUGGAGCUGCUGAUAGAAACAACCCAGUUGAACAUAGAAGGGAACCCCAGAAGCAGAUCAGAUUCAAAAGAUGUGGAUCCCAGAUGGAUGUACAACCUGAGACAGAGGCAGCUGAAGAACCAGUCAGCAGCAGAGCAGCAUGGUGCCCGGACCCCCACCGGUGGCUCAGAGACCUGCACCCUGUCUCAGUUCCUGUCUGCGUAUGGAGACCAAGCCUCUUCCUACGCUGCAGCAGUGCGGAGGUCUCCCAACCGCAGCUCCCUCUCUCCCUGGUGCUCCCGCAGCUCAUCCCCCACCACCGGCCUGUCCACCAUGCUCUCCCCCCUCUACCUGGGGUCAAAGGGCAGCAGCCCCUCCAGCACCACCUCAGAGAGCGCAUUGGAGCGUGAACGCCCGCUCAGUGCUGGGGCAGUGCAAGGUUACCGCAGGCACAGCAGCUACUUUAAAAACUCAUUGACAGGGGGCCACAACAGAGGUGCAUGGUCCAAUACAAGGGGCAACUUCACACAGAAUAAGUCUAGCAGAACCUCACAGCAAACAGGGAGGCCUCGGUCCCAUAGUUACAGUGUAGUAGCUCAGAACCGCCCCAGGGUGAUACCGGGAAUAUCACCAGCGGUGGAAAACCCCAGUACAGAGCAAGAGGGGGCUAAAGUCAGUGAGGGGGGAUGGAUCAAAGUGGAGCGCCAGAAAAGGUUACCGCGACAGGACAAUAAACAGGUCAGAGGAAGACCGAGGAGAGGGAGUAGAGGUGGCUGUAGUGGUCGAAGCUGAGGAUCAUUCGCUGUUUGAAACUGUUUACAUGUCUGAAUAGACUGGACAGCAGGUUUACUUUGAACAUUAUCCUUCGCACUACUUCAAAAAUAUACAUUUUUAAACGUUCUCUCUUGAGGGAUCUUUUUAGGAGGCAUUUGAGCUAGGGAGAAUUGUGAUUUAGGGAAUGCACACAAUUCAGUCUUAGGGCUGAAUUCUGAAUUGUACUGUGUGCACUCAAAUAUCUUUUCUGUUUAACAUGUAAGGCUACAUAUCAUUUGUAGUUGUAUAUGUGAACUGUUUUAUAUAAGGCUAUUGUAAAUUGUAUUGACUACAUUGUUGUAAUAUUUCUAUUUAUGAGCGAUAAUUGUGCCUUUUAUUACAAUAUAGAAAAGUUAAUGUACGUAUUGAUGCUUAAAAAUAGAUGUUUUAUAUAGGUUUUAACUAUAUGUAGAGUAAAAAAAAAAAGAAAGAUAAACAUACAUGAAGACAAUACGAUUCUCUCAUUAUCCAAGGACGCGGGAGUUUUUCUAUAAACCCGCCCCUUUAUGCACAGUUCUACGCUAUGAUUUCGCGCCAGGUCGUAGUACUUGAAAGGACACUUUCCUGGCGCGGGAAGUUUCUCAGUCCCAUCUGCAAGUCUUUCUCUGCAUUCAUUAAAGGACUGCAGAAACGUC